rnacentral:lncRNA from 1 species
CGAACGUAUUCGUCAUGCCUGGAGCCUGGGAUCUGCAGUUGUGGUAUGCGGUGGCUAAAAUCCCCAGAUUUGGAUUCUGCAAAGUUUUCAUAGCCUCCAACACGUGUUUUGUCUGAACAAAGGCUAAGCAACGGAGCCCCACCUCUCAUCUCUAAACCAUUCUUCACAAAUCGUGUACCGGGAUAAGGGAAGGGUGGACAGAAGGAAGUGACUCAAGCCCAUGUUCUCUGCCCCGCCCCCGACGAAAUUCACAGGUCCAACAGAUAAAGAAACUGCAGUUUUCUGUCUUUAGUGAAUACUAUAUCAGAAUGCACCACCACAGUGUAAAGAGGGACUUGUGAUUCCUGCAUGAGUGGCUCAUGCCUGCCAUACUGUUGUAGAUGUUUCAGCUGACCAACCGUCUACGAGCAGAGAUGGUUUCCAUGACACAACUGUGCGUUAGUAACAACAGAAGCACCUAGACCUGCGGUUGCACACCUUCUGCUGUCUGGAUGGGGGAAUGAGGAAGCUGGAUGGAACUAACUGCAUCUUUGUGAACAUCUCAUCUAAAGAUCAG